AAUAUUUGAUACUGAUCUCGAAGAAGCCGGAAUCCUGCUGGCUGGCCAUGUCGGCGGCAUACAAAGAGCCUGCUCCCGAGGCUGGACCGUGAGCUGCGCGGAGCAGGCUUUCCGGGUGAUGCUCAUGGUACAGAAUCUGCCUGCAAAUGCAGGAGCCUCAGAAGACGCGGGUUCAACCCCUGGGUCGGGAAGAUCCAUCUACUCUUAGAGAUGAGGAAAUGCCAACGGAUGGGGAUCUGACAGCUAGGACAUGCUGGAGUAACAGUAAUAACAACGAUAAAGAUAAUGGCUGGUUAUGUGAAUCAAUCCAGGAUUGGAGCUCACAUCUGAUACAAGGCAGCAGUGGCAGAUGGUGAAUUCCGGCUGUGUCUAAUUCUUGCUGUGCCUGUGGCUGCCCAUAGAUCUUUCCAGAAGCCAGCAUUCAGAGAACACAGUGAAACUCACAAGAAUCUCAUGAAUUUUGCUGCUGUUCCAAAGAUUCUUCUGGCACAGACUCUGCUCUAGCAGAUGAGCCGGUUACACUUUCAAUCACAGCCAUUCAGCUAAAACAAAAAAACAAACUACCAAAUGACCUUACAGAGAUUUUGAAAAACAGGUCUGUCCUUGAAUACAAAGAGUAAGGGAGACAGGACACCCUCCUUUCUCUACCCAUGGAAGAUCCCAAAUCCCAAGGUCAUGAUUCCAGGUCCUUCACGUAGCUCGGAAAUACUGAGCAUGAUGGUGUUCAGGUAAUUGAAAAGCACAAACAUUUUCAAUAAAGAACGUUUUUGUUUCAUAAUUAACUUUGGCAGAUGUUUAACGUUUGCUGGCUCCCAGAAACCUGAUUUCCAACUUGCUGAAAUCCCGCCAUGUGCCCAGAACAACACUCCAUAUGGAGCCAAGAUGGCAACUUCUGCAACCCAACAUAUGUCUAGGUUUGCAAUACCUCCACUUUCAUGUUUGUUUGUACUUUAGCUGUACCUCCAAAAUAUUUAUUUUCAUAAGGAAUCUCAACACUCCAAGUGGAACCAAAGAAAUGAUCAACACUGACUGGCAACCAGAUUAAAAAAAAAAAAAAACAAAACUUUGCUAUGAUACAGAUGGUGAGAAGUUAAACAUGAUUACCACUUCAGGUAGCAGUGCUCAAUACGGAAAGGUAAACCAUGCUGAAUAAUUGCUAACAGUCAAAUUUUCCACCCAACUCCAACUUAAUACAUGACGUCAACAUGAAGACACUGGGAGAACUGCAGUGACAGCAAAGAGGAGUUGCCAAGGAUAGGUUUAUCUUCAUCACUGGAAAAGCAGGACUUGUAUUAUGCAAGACUGGUUGUCACUGCGGUUGUUCAGUCACUAAGUCAUGUACGACUCUGUGACCCCAUGAACUGUAGCACUCCAGGUUUCCCUAUCCUUCAACAUCUCCUGGAAUUUGCUCAAACUCAUGUCCAUUGAGUGGAAGAUGCCAUACAACCAUCUUAUCCUCUGUUGCCACUUCUCCUCUUGCCCUCGAUCUUUCUCAGCAUCAGGGUCUUUUCCAGUGAGUCAGCUCUGUAUCAGGUGGCCAAAGGAUUGGAGCUUCAGCUUCAGCAUCAGUCCUUUCAAUGAAUAUUCAAGGUUGAUUUCCUUUCGGAUUGACUGGUUUGAUCUUCUUGCUGUCCAAAGGAUUCUCAGGGGACACUCAGCCUUCCGUAUGGUCCAACUCUCACAACCAUACAUGACUACUGGAAAAACCAUAGCUUUGAUUAUACCUUUGUUAGCAAAGUGAUGUGUCUGCUUUUUAAUAUGCCAUCUAGGUUUGUCGUGGCUUUUCUUCCAAGUAGAAAGCAUCUUUUAAUUUUGUGGCUGCAGUCACCAUUCACAGUGCUUUUGGAGCCCCAGAAAAUAAAAUCUGUCACUGUUUCCACUUUUUCCCUGUCCAAGGUAGGACUGUUACUAUGUAUCAAAUGUCAUUUGAGGCUCAGGGGGUCUCAAGAAAUAUUUGUUAUUCUGUCCAGUGGUUUCCAAACUGUACUAUGAAUCAUUUUUAAGAGGACUUGGAAAGAAAACGUUACCCUGGCAUAUUACAGAGGCUUGAGGUGGCAAUGGCAUGGCAGAAACCACAUCAGACUCAGAACUGCAAGAUCUGUGUUCAAGUCUACUCUCACCAGUUAACCAACUGGUGACCCAGAGCAGGCCAUUUAGUUUCCCCAUUCUUCAGCUCCUGCCCAUAAAAAAGCAGGCUUCCCCGGUGGCUCACACAUUAAUAAUACAUACCGCUGGAUGUGUUAAUUAACUAGACGAGGGAAAUAUUUUCAAUGUGUAUGUAUAUGAAAUCACCACUAUGUACAAUUUAAAUCUUUCCAUUUUAAAUGCCAAUUAUACCUCAGUAAAGAUGAAAUUUAAAAAAAUACACACCUUGUAGGACUGUAGUAAAGAUAGAGAUAGGAUAUGUGCACAGCAAGGCAGAGGCAUCAUAAUGAUAUUAAUAGCAUCAUGGCACCAAUGAUAAUAUUCAUUGAGACACUGCUUUGUGCUAGCGACUAUGUGAAGCACUUUUCCUGCACGACUGCACUUAACUGUCAAAGCAAGUCUCUGAGUUUGGUGCUUUAUCCCUGUUUAAUAGAUGAAAAAACUGAAGUUCAGAGAAUCCAAGGUCACUCAGAUAAGAAAUACUUGUUUGGCUGAUGGGAUGGAAUUUUUAUAAUCCAUAACUGGAUACAAAUUUCACCUUACCUUAUGGAGUUAAAUACCUUAUUUUAAUCUGAGACCUAAUAUUUAUUAAGUGCCUUCUAUGUGCCACAGAACGGGCUAUUUUACAGGUUAUCUCACUUAAGCCAAAGACGUGUGUAUGUGUGUGUGUGUGUGUGUGUGUGUGUGUGUGUGUGAAUGAGGCAGUACCCCCAUUCUAAAGAUGGGAAAACUGAGAUUCACCAGGCUUACUGCCUAAGGCGGUACAGCUGUGAACGAUUUCUGAUCCCGAACCCAAGCCCAGCUCAGCACACAGCCUUCCUUAAUACUGUGUGCUCAGCGACUCUAACAUAAGUCAUCUGAAUGAAGGCGAUAAAAAAUCAUAAUCUGUUACAGUAAAAUAUGGAUAACAUUCUCUCUUUUCUAAUUCUCUUUUUCACAUGAGAAUUACUAAACAUUCAGUCCAAAACCCAACCACGAACAUUGCAUUUUCACUGGCACAAAGAAAAUGAAAAAAAAAAAAAUCUCUGAGAAUAUUUUUUAAACAUGGAACUUACAGUUAACAUCAGGUCUUUUAAAGUAGUUCUGGCCAAAAGUAAAUAACCAGUCUGGUUUCUACUCUGCCAAACAGCUUUCUCUACAUUUUUCCCCAUAGAAGAAGACAAACUUCUAUCCACCAUCACCACCACCACUGUUCUCUCCCCACCAUCACCUGGACCACUCCCCUGGUGCCUCCCCUCCAAGCCUUUGUUACACUCUCCUCCCUUUGCCUAGGGUGUGUUCCUCUGCAUCAGUUCAAAUUCCCUCCAACACGUAUAAUGAUACUCCAAUCCUCGCAUUCCAAGAAGGAGUGAUCAGCUCUUCCUUGUCUCCUAGUGUAUUUAAUGACAUCUCUAUUCUUCCUGGCACUUGCUUAUUAGCUUUAAUGCUUCUAGAUAGGUAGCCCAUCUCUCCAAAUGGAUACUUAUGUCCUUGUGGAUAGACUAUCUUUGUUGUUUUUUCUCUGCUCUUUUGUAUUUUAAAAGCUCUUAAUUGUUUUACAACAAUGGAAGAGUACUUUCUUAAGGGAAAACACCACGGACUCUGUAGUGGCUAGCAUCUCUUUUCUUAUAUAUAAUGCAAGAAAGAUGAUCUCCA